rnacentral:rRNA from 1 species
UACACUCCUACGGGAGGCAGCAGUGGGGAAUAUUGCACAAUGGGCGCAAGCCUGAUGCAGCCAUGCCGCGUGUAUGAAGAAGGCCUUCGGGUUGUAAAGUACUUUCAGCGGGGAGGAAGGCGAUAAGGUUAAUAACCUUGUCGAUUGACGUUACCCGCAGAAGAAGCACCGGCUAACUCCGUGCCAGCAGCCGCGGUAAUACGGAGGGUGCAAGCGUUAAUCGGAAUUACUGGGCGUAAAGCGCACGCAGGCGGUCUGUCAAGUCGGAUGUGAAAUCCCCGGGCUCAACCUGGGAACUGCAUUCGAAACUGGCAGGCUAGAGUCUUGUAGAGGGGGGUAGAAUUCCAGGUGUAGCGGUGAAAUGCGUAGAGAUCUGGAGGAAUACCGGUGGCGAAGGCGGCCCCCUGGACAAAGACUGACGCUCAGGUGCGAAAGCGUGGGGAGCAAACAGGAUUAGAUACCCUUGUAGUCCCAUGA